ensembl:misc_RNA Metazoa_SRP Metazoan signal recognition particle RNA
GCUGGGUGUGGUGGUGCACGCCUGUAGUCCCAGCUACUUGGGAGGUUGAGGUAGGAGGAUCCCUUGAGCCCAGGAGUCCUGGGUGAGCCUGGGCAACAUAGUGGGACCCUGUCUCUU